UAUGAGAGGCCCAAACGUUAUUCGGAAUUACUGGGCUUAAAGAGUUCGUAGGCGGCGCAGCAAGUCGGGUGUGAAAGCCCUCGGCUUAACCGAGGAAUUGCGCUCUAAACUACUGUGCUCGAGGAACCUAGAGGUGAGCAGAACUGAUGGUGGAGCGGUGAAAUGCGUUGAUAUCAUCAGGAAUACCGGAGGCGAAGGCGGCUCACUGGGGGUUUUCUGACGCUGAGGAACGAAAGCCAGGGGAGCGAACGGG
rnacentral:rRNA from 1 species